AAGUCGUAACAAGGUUUCCGUAGGUGAACCUGCGGAAGGAUCAUUAACACUGAAAUCAUUGGAUCACAACUUUUUCCAAAGUUGUGUUCCACAUGUCUACCCACUCUUGGACGCACUCUUGAGACUGCGAAAAUCAGUCGCUUUUUUUCUCCCCAUUUUUUCAACCCAACCCCACACCAAAAUACACAUAACCAAUGCCAAUGACUGAUAUCACCAGUUUGUUAUAAAUUGUAAAACAACUCUUAACAACGGAUAUCUUGGCUCUC
rnacentral:misc_RNA from 1 species